rnacentral:rRNA from 1 species
UGGGGAAUUGUUCGCAAUGGGCGCAAGCCUGACGACGCAACGCCGCGUGGAGGAUGAAGAUCUUCGGGUCGUAAACUCCUGUCGAGCGGGAAGAACACCUACGGGGUGAAUAGUCUCGUAGGCUGACGGUACCGCUAAAGGAAGCCCCGGCUAACUCCGUGCCAGCAGCCGCGGUAAUACGGGGGGGGCAAGCGUUGUUCGGAAUUACUGGGCGUAAAGGGCUCGUAGGCGGCCAACUAAGUCAGACGUGAAAUCCCAGGCUCAACCUGGGAACUGCGUCUGAUACUGGAUGGCUUGAAUUCGGGAGAGGGAUGCAGAAUUCCAGGUGUAGCGGUGAAAUGCGUAGAUAUCUGGAGGAAUACCGGUGGCGAAGGCGGCAUCCUGGACCGACAUUGACGCUGAGGAGCGAAAGCUAGGGGAGCAAACGGG